UAGGCGGAAUGUUGCGUUAAGGGAAAGGUCGGUACAAAGCCCCGCACUACAUGGACUAAGCUUUGGUUUGAAUUGCCACUGUAUCCUAACGGGUGCACCGGCUCCAGAGAGGGUGUAAGUCCCGUAUGUCCAUGGAUCAUGUGUAUGGGUUCGGCUUUAUUCCCUGAGAGUCGCGUUGCUUGGACAUGCAGCGCUAAGCAGGUCGUAAACUCGACCUAAGGCUAAAUAUUUUCACAGAACCGAUAGUAAACAAGUACCGUGAGGGAAAGUUGAAAAGUACUCUGAAGAGAGAGUCAAAAGACCGU
rnacentral:rRNA from 1 species